rnacentral:tRNA from 1 species
GCGCCCGUAGCUCAACUGGAUAGAGCAACGGCCUUCUAAGCCGUAGGUUGCAGGUUCGAGCCCUGCCGGGUGCG